rnacentral:rRNA from 1 species
UACGUAGGGUGCGAGCGUUGUCCGGAAUUAUUGGGCGUAAAGAGCUCGUAGGCGGCCUGUCGCGUCGGAUGUGAAAGCCCGGGGCUUAACCCCGGGUCUGCAUUCGAUACGGGCAGGCUAGAGUGUGGUAGGGGAGAUCGGAAUUCCUGGUGUAGCGGUGAAAAUGCGCAGAUAUCAGGAGGAACACCGGUGGCGAAGGCGGAUCUCUGGGCCAUUACUGACGCUGAGGAGCGAAAGCGUGGGGAGCGAACAGG